rnacentral:rRNA from 1 species
CCUACGGGUGGCAGCAGUGGGGAAUAUUGCGCAAUGGGCGAAAGCCUGACGCAGCGACGCCGCGUGAGGGAUGAAGGUCUUCGGGUCGUCAACCUCUGUCAGCAGGGAAGAACGGUCCCUGUGCUAAUCAGCAGUGAAUUGACGGUACCUGCAAAGGAAGCACCGUCUCACUCCGUGCCAGCAGCUGCGGUAAUACGGCGGGGGCGAGCGUUAAUCGGAAUUACUGGGCGGAAAGCGCGCGUAGGCGGUAUGUCAAGUCAAGGGUGAAAUCCCCGGGCUCAACGUGGGAACUGCCUUUGAAACUGGCAAACUGGAGUGUGUGAGAGGAUAGUGGAAUUCCAGGUGUAGGGGUGAAAUGCGUAGAUAUCAGGAGGAACAUCAGUGGCGAAGGCGGCUAUCUGGCACAUAACUGACGCUGAGGAGCGAAAGCGUGGGUAGCAAACAGGAUUAGAUACCCCUGUAGUC